CGAGGUAUAGCUUUAAUAAAGCAUUUUAUUUACAUUAAAAAGUUAAUUGUUGAAUUCAGUUUAUCUUGA
rnacentral:tRNA from 1 species